rnacentral:tRNA from 1 species
CGUAGCUCAGUUGGUAGAGCAACUGACUCUUAAUCAGUGGGUCAAGGGUUCGAGCCCCUUC